AAGAGAGCAGGGAAGAGGAGGGUACAAAUCUUGUGGUAUAUUUGUGUUUCCUUUUCUUUUUCUGCUUUCUUCUGUUUGGUGCUUUCCCCCCCCCCUCUUCUAUU
rnacentral:ribozyme from 14 species